AUUGAACGCUGGCGGCAGGCUUAACACAUGCAAGUCGAGCGGGGGAAGGUAGCUUGCUACCGGACCUAGCGGCGGACGGGUGAGUAAUGCUUAGGAAUCUGCCUAUUAGUGGGGGACAACAUCUCGAAAGGGAUGCUAAUACCGCAUACGUCCUACGGGAGAAAGCAGGGGAUCUUCGGACCUUGCGCUAAUAGAUGAGCCUAAGUCGGAUUAGCUAGUUGGUGGGGUAAAGGCCUACCAAGGCGACGAUCUGUAGCGGGUCUGAGAGGAUGGUCCGCUACCCUGGGACUGAGACACGGCCCAGACUCCUACGGGAGGCAGCAGUGGGGAAUAUUGGACAAUGGGGGGAACCCUGAUCCAGCCAUGCCGCGUGUGUGAAGAAGGCCUUAUGGUUGUAAAGCACUUUAAGCGAGGAGGAGGCUACUCUAGUUAAUACCUAGGGAUAGUGGACGUUACUCGCAGAAUAAGCACCGGCUAACUCUGUGCCAGCCGCCGCAGUAA
rnacentral:rRNA from 1 species